GGCCUAACACAUGCAAGUCGAGGGGUAACAGAGGGUGCUUGCACCCUGCUGACGACCGGCGCACGGGUGCGUAACGCGUAUAGAACCUACCUUUUACUGGGGGAUAGCCCAGAGAAAUUUGGAUUAAUACCCCAUGGUAUUGUUGAUUGGCAUCAAUUAAUGAUUAAAGGUUACGGUAAAAGAUGGCUAUGCGUCCUAUUAGUUAGUUGGUAAGGUAACGGCUUACCAAGACAUCGAUAGGUAGGGGCCCUGAGAGGGGGAUCCCCCACACUGGUACUGAGACACGGACCAGACUCCUACGGGAGGCAGCAGUGAGGAAUAUUGGACAAUGGGCGGAAGCCUGAUCCAGCCAUGCCGCGUGCAGGAAGACAGCCCUAUGGGUUGUAAACUGCUUUUAUACAGGAAGAAUAAGGGGUAUGUAUACUCCGAUGACGGUACUGUAAGAAUAAGGACCGGCUAACUCCGUGCCAGCAGCCGCGGUAAUACGGAGGGUCCGAGCGUUAUCCGGAAUUAUUGGGUUUAAAGGGUCCGCAGGCGGGCAAUUAAGUCAGGGGUGAAAUGGUGCGGCUCAACCGUAGCACUGCCCUUGAUACUGUUUGU
rnacentral:rRNA from 1 species